GAUGAACGCUAGCGACAGGCUUAACACAUGCAAGUCGAGGGGCAGCGGGGAGGUAGCAAUACUUCCGCCGGCGACCGGCGCACGGGUGAGUAACACGUAUGGAACCUGCCCGUAGCAGGGGGAUAAGCGGAAGAAAUUCCGUCUAAUACCGCGUAAUAACUCCGAGAGGCAUCUCCUGGGGUUUAAAGGGUAACACCGGCUACGGAUGGCCAUGCGGCGCAUUAGCUAGUUGGCGGGGUAACGGCCCACCAAGGCGACGAUCAGUAGCCGGCCUGAGAGGGUGAACGGCCACAUUGGGACUGAGACACGGCCCAA
rnacentral:rRNA from 1 species